AGUGAACGCUGGCGGUAGGCCUAACACAUGCAAGUCGAACGGCGGCACAGUAAGAGCUUGCUCUUACGGGUGGCGAGUGGCGGACGGGUGAGGAAUACAGCGGAAUCUACUUUUUCGUGGGGGAUAACGUAGGGAAACUUACGCUAAUACCGCAUACGACCUACGGGUGAAAGCAGGGGAUCUUCGGACCUUGCGCGAUUGAAUGAGCCGAUGUCGGAUUAGCUAGUUGGCGGGGUAAAGGCCCACCAAGGCGACGAUCCGUAGCUGGUCUGAGAGGAUGAUCAGCCACACUGGAACUGAGACACGGUCCAGACUCCUACGGGAGGCAGCAGUGGGGAAUAUUGGACAAUGGGGGCAAGCCUGAUCCAGCCAUACCGCGUGGGUGAAGAAGGCCUUCGGGUUGUAAAGCCAUUUUGUUGGGAAAGAAAAGCAGCAGGUUAAUACCCCGCUGUUCUGACGGUACCCAAAGAAUAAGCACCGGCUAACUUCGUG
rnacentral:rRNA from 1 species